CAUUUCUCUAACUGGUUUGACCGCCCUGUUGGUCUGCAGUGAUAUCGUCUUACAUGGUACCCUUCCAGCAAGCUGCAACUCUGCAGGAUUCCUGUUCUGCAUGGAUUCCAGAAACCAGCGCAGUACUCAGAGGUGUUUUGUUUUGUUGUGUUUUUUGGGUACCAGGGAUUGAACUCAGGGGCACUCAAUCACAGAGCCACAUCCCCACCCUAUUUUGUAUUUUAAAAAUAGAGUCAGAGUCUCGCUGAGUUGCUUAGUGCCUCGAUAAAUUGCUGAGGCUGAUUUUGGACUCACAAUCCCCCUGCCUCAGCCUCCUGAGCCGCUGGGAUUCCAGGCAUGCGCCACCGCACCCAGCUUCAGAGGUGUUAAUAGCAUAAGGAUUCCAUUGGGAGUAGAGGCCAAGAAGUGUCCCAUAGCUCACAGGGAUUGUGUUCCAGCGUUGGAAUUAAACCUCUAGGGUGAAUAAAUGAGAACAUUAAAGAAUCUCCUAGGGGUGAUAGGGAGUAAAAAUAAAGAAGGAAUGAACUUGAAAGUGGGUGGCCUCCCUAACCCUGAGAUUUCGUCCUUUUUGGAGGUGUGGUUGCAGCCUCCAGAUGGCAGAGAAGGUCUCUGGGUUGUUCCUGGACAGAACUAGAACACAGAUAAGAGCCAAGACUGGGCAGAGAACCACAGGUUGAGGCUGGUGGGCUGCAGGCCUCCUCCUGGGCCACCUACAACAUCCCCCAGGAGGCUGCUUUUGGAGGAUGCUGCUGGACCUACAGGCUCAGGAAAGGGAGCUGCCUCAGGGGGCUGGGCUUUCCUGGAAACCAACUGGGUCACCCUUGUCCUUUACCAGGAACCCACCCAAGAGAGUAGCACUGAACUCCCCACAGGCUAAGAGGUGGGAUGCCCUCAGAAAGAGCUGUGAAGACACCUGUGAGUGUGACCUUGGAAACUGCUGAGAGGAGCUCCGCUGGCUUCAGAGACCCUGGAGCAAGUAGCAAGCAAAGCACAGAUGGAACCGGAAGCCUCUUCUUUCCCCAUCUUCUGCUGCCCUCUACAGACAGUUUCAUGUUGUGCCAGAUGGCAAGGGGAGCAUAGGCCCAGCACCCAUCAAGGGUGGACUGGGCACUGCCACGCAACAGAUGAUUAACUGUGCAGGAUGCUGGUGGACGGCACUGGUGGAGAGAGCUCUUUCAUAAACACUUUUUGAAAAUGUUUGCUUGAAGGACUAGUCCUGCCCGUUGAGAAAUUAUUCAAAACAAAGAACUCAACGGAAAAAAAAAUUAAGUGUAAAAGAAAAAGCAAAGAACAAUUAAAUCAAUAAAUAAUGCA
rnacentral:lncRNA from 1 species